GUGUGCGCGCUUCAGGGCCAGUUUCAGCAGAACGCUCUAUUUUUUGCUUACUGCUAAAUCCUCCUUCUAGAUACACGUUUCAGUGGUAUUUUUCGUAAUUCACUGUGCCAGUGAAUGUAGCCCAUUUCUUCCCUUUCCAUACGCUACACCUCGACCUGACGUACUGGGCUAUGCCAAUUGUGCUUACUGAAGGGCCUUCAUAGGGUAAGCUGACGACGGCGGUAUAUAGGCGGGGAGAACAAGAAAAGGUGAGGUUGAACGGGGGUUAUCGGUUUUAGAACAGGCUCCUCUAGGUGGGUCUAAAGCACCGCCAAGUCCUUUGGGUUUUAAGCUGUUGCUCGUAGUACCCGGGCGGAUAGUGGGUGU
rnacentral:rRNA from 1 species